rnacentral:lncRNA from 1 species
GGGCAUAAAGGAUGGUUGGGGGAAAAUGAAAAGAGGGAAGGCACAAGACAGACGGCAGGGGAGAUCCCCGUUUCAAGAGGAUGAGUAAAAACCCAUUACCUGAAAAAGGGCUCCGUUGGCUUAACAUAAAAGCCAAGCUGAAACGAGUAAAAAGAAUAUCCCAUGCAUAAUUUGAAAUCAAGGCCUGUUAAAAUUAAACUCCACGGGGCAAAAACUUUCCUGGAGUAAAAGAAAAGUAGAGGGAAAGAAGAACUAUAACCUGGAAAGAACAUUAAAGUUAGUCUUCAUUCUGUUAAAGCAUUAGUGAUA